rnacentral:rRNA from 1 species
UCAGCCGUACUCCGAAUGCUCUAGAUUAGAGUUUGAUCAUGGCUCAGACGCUGAACGCUGGCGGUAGGCCUAACACAUGCAAGUCGAACGGCAGCACAGGAGAGCUUGCUCUCUGGGUGGCGAGUGGCGGACGGGUGAGGAAUACAUCGGAAUCUACUCUGUCGUGGGGGAUAACGUAGGGAAACUUACGCUAAUACCGCAUACGACCUACGGGUGAAAGCAGGGGAUCUUCGGACCUUGCGCGAUUGAAUGAGCCGAUGUCGGAUUAGCUAGUUGGCGGGGUAAAGGCCCACCAAGGCGACGAUCCGUAGCUGGUCUGAGAGGAUGAUCAGCCACACUGGAACUGAGACACGGUCCAGACUCCUACGGGAGGCAGCAGUGGGGAAUAUUGGACAAUGGGCGCAAGCCUGAUCCAGCCAUACCGCGUGGGUGAAGAAGGCCUUCGGGUUGUAAAGCCCUUUUGUUGGGAAAGAAAUCCAGCUGGCUAAUACCUGGUUGGGAUGACGGUACCCAAAGAAUAAGCACCGGCUAACUUCGUGCCAGCAGCCGCGGUAAUACGAAGGGU